UCCAUUUACAAAUGACUAACACUGUCAGUCGAAUAAUUUUAGCCAAAAGAAUUUCAAACAAAUAAGGCUGAAUCAAAUGGUUGUAAGAUAACAAUUUCAUACUGAACUCAAAUACAAAUAGCCAAAGGCUAACAAAAUACAUCGGUACCAUGAUGUAUACAAAUCAAAUAGGAUAGUACGCACGACACAUACGUCACUAAUCCGUCAAACAAAUCGAAUCAAAUCAAAUACUGGGUCGACCCAUACGUAUCCUGAACAAAUAUAUCAAAUGGUCAAAGCUCAUACCCAGAACAUACAAAAGGAUACGUCGUGGACUAAUCACACCGCCACGGAAGGUGUCAUGCCCUUGUGUCAAAAGGACAUGCCUGUGGUACCCCCACAGGUGGUUAGCUCAAGUAUACCCUAAGGAUCAAACUACAAAAUGUAAGCCAAAAGGGGUUCAAAUCACAGGGUUUACAUAACCAUAUUCAAAUGAAAUCGAAUUAUCAAAUACAAACAAUAUUAAUUAUCCCAAUAUAUCAAUGAUCAAAAAUAACUCCUGAAUGUGAACAAAAAUAUAUGAACAAUGGUACAAACGAAUAAAGUCUCCAAAACAUAUUGACACGAUUAACUAGUUUCAAGAGUACAAAUACGAAUUAUAAUAUCAACGCCAAAACGAAAUUGUCUCAAUAAUUUUGACAACAAAGAAUAAUCCGGAGGGGCAAUACCAAAUCUCUAAACGAAUACAAAACGAACGAAUUAAAUUUAAAAGAGUAUCGUUGAAAAAGUACGAAAUCCGCACCUUAAUAUAGCACCAAAAUAAUUCGCCGAAUCCAAAUAUCACCUGCUAAACUCCCUCAAUCCGAUCUAAUUAUCAAAAUAAAAUAUAAUACACAAUUAAAUUACUUAUUAAUAACUAUAAUUUCUAAUAACAGGAAAUUAUUUCUCAAUUUACAUCAGUUUUACAAGAUAAAUUUAAACUAAAUUACUAUUGAUUUUAUUUUAUCACUUUUCUUUUGAUUUUGACCAUUCAGCCUCCUUAAGCUUAUAUAUAUAAUAUGUAUCAUUUAGUAAUAAUGUAGAACCUAUAAUCUUGAUCAUGAUAACGAAUUCUUUAUUAAUAUAUAUAUAUCUCUCUCUCUCUUUUUAAAACUAAUCAGAACAUUGCCUUCAUAUUAUUCAUUCACAAUUUGCGACAGUGAUCAUACAUAUACACAUGCACCCUAUGCUCAGACUCUCAUUCAAUUGAAAGGAAUAAUAAUAACUUACCAGUUGAUCCAAUUUCCCUUCCCUUUGCUUAGCGGCGGCUGAGAUCCUCUUCUCUUUUUUUUUUCUCUUCCUCCCGUCGAUUUGUAUUAGAAGUAAUGAAGCAGUUAGGUUUUGGUUUAUUUAUUAAUUAAUAUGUUUUAUUAAUACUCUUAAUUUUACUAGGAUUUAAAAUUACACAAUUAUAAUUUAUACCCAAUUAAUUUAAAAGCCCAAAUUAAUUAUUUUUAAAUAUUUAUUUAAAUAUUAUUAUUAUUAUUUUAUUUUAUUUUUCGGGUAUUACAUCACCUUCCCCUUAAAAAGGAUUCCGUCCCCGGAAUCAAAAGAAUAGAACAUACCUAAUUUUCAAAAAGAUGCGGAUAUUCCGCUCGAAUAGACUCCUCCAUCUCCCAAGUAGCUUCUCGCUCCGAAUGGUUUUUUCAUAAUACUUUAACAAAAAGAAUUGUCUUCCUCCUCAUAAUCCGUUCUUGACGAUCUAGAAUCGCCUCGGCUUCUUCCUCACAAGUAAGAUCUUCUUGAAUCUUAUGUAACGGGUAUUGCACAACAUGAAACGGAUGAUAAUUAUAUUUCCUUAACACUGAAACAUGAAAGACAUUAUGCACAUGAGAUAACUGUGGAGACAAAGCCACCCGAUAUGCCACUUCUCCAACUCUCUCAAGAACUUCAAAAGGGCCAACGAAACGCGGACUAAGCUUUCCUUUCAAACCAAACCUUCGAACACCUUUCCAUGGAGAAACUUUCAAAAACACGUGUUCAUCAGGCGUGAAUUCAAGAGCCCUCCUAUAAAUAUCAGCAUAACUCUUUUGCCGCGAUCGAGCUUCUUUCAAUUUUUCUUUAGCCACUGCUAUCUUCUCCGUAGUAAUCCUAACCAAAUCGGGUCCUUCUAUUACCCUUUCUCCAACCUCAUCCCAACAAGUCGGAGCUCGACACUUCUUACCAUAUAAUGCUUCAAAAGGAGCCAUACCAAUACUAGCUUGCCAACUAUUAUUAUAUGCAAACUCCACCAAACUCAAAUAAUCAUCCCAGUUUCCUGUCCACUCUAAAGCACAAGAUCGCAACAUGUCUUCUAAUGUCUGAAUAGUUCUCUCUGAUUGUCCAUCUGUCUGCGGAUGAAAAGCUGUAUUAUAGUUGAGUCGCGUUCCCCAAGCUCGUUGAAAUCCUUUCCAAAUUCGAGAAGUAAACCGCGGAUCCCGAUCCGAAACAAUAGAAACUGGAGUUCCAUGAAGCCUAACAAUCUCACGUUGAAAAAUAUCUGUUAACUUAUUUACCGAAAAAUCUUCACGAAUAGACAAAAAAUGAGCCGAUUUAGUCAAACGAUCCACUACCACCCAAAUAGUAUCAUUCUUUUUAAGAGUCCUCGGCAACCCAGUCAGAAAGUCCAUUGAAAUGUCAUCCCAUUUCCACACAGGAAUCUCUAACUGUUGCAACAAACCACCAGGUCGUUGAUGCUCUAUCUUCACUUGCUGACAAGUAAGACAUUUACUCACAAAUUCAGCUACAUCCCUUUUCAUUCCACUCCACCAAAAAUUCUCCUUCAGAUCCUUAUACAUCUUUGUAGACCCCGGAUGAAUAGAAAAUGGCGAACUAUGAGCUUCAGUCAACACUGCCUCACGAAUCAUUGGAUCUACUGGAACACAUAACCGUUUACCAAACCAUAUCACACCUUGUUCAUCAAUGUGAAACUCUGGUUGCCUACCCUCAUCCAUAUUCUGCGCUAUAGUCCACAACUCGCCAUCCUCCUUUUGGGCUUCCUUGAUACGCAAAAUAAGAGAAGGUUCCACCCUCAUACCUGCUACCAACCCAUCAGAACCUCUAGUAUAUAGCUCCAAAUCCACACGCUCUAUAUCCGAGAUAAGUUGAGGUUGUGUAACCAAGGCAGAUACACUCCCUGAACUCUUCCGGCUAAGAGCAUCUGCAACCACAUUAGCCUUAUCGGGGUGAUACUGAAUCCUGGUAUCAUAAUCCUUGAGAAGCUCCAACCAACGCCUCUGUCUCAUGUUAAGCUCCUUCUGAGUAAAAAUAUAUUUAAGGCUCUUGUGGUCGGUGAAAAUGUCACAAGUCUCUCCAUAUAGAUAGUCUCCAAAUCUUUAGGGCAAAAAUAACUGCUGCUAACUCCAAGUCGUGGGUAGGAUAAUUCACCUCAUAAGGUUUAAGUUGUCUGGAAGCAUAAACAAUUACCUUACCAUGUUGCAUCAAAACGCACCCUAAUCCCUUCUUAGAAGCAUCACUGCAAAUCUGAUAACCUCCUAUCCCCGACGGUAAUGUAAGCACUGGAGCCGACACAAGUCUCUUCUUAAGCUCCUCAAAACUUUUCUCACGUUCCUCAUUCCACACAAAUUUUAUGCCCUUCUUCAUCAACUGAGUUAAUGGCAAAGCUAACAAAGAGAAACCUUCCACAAAUCGCCUGUAGUACCCUACCAAACCCAAGAAACUCCUUAUUUCAGUUACCGUGGUAGGUCUUGGCCAAUUAGUGAUAGCCUCAACCUUCGCAGGAUCCACCUUAAUACCUUCAGCAGACACGACAUGUCCCAAAAAUGCUACCUGUUCUAACCAAAACUCGCAUUUGGAGAACUUAGCAUAUAACUUAUUCUUCUGCAGAACCCCCAAAAUAGUACGAAGAUGUUCUUCAUGUUCCUCCUUAGACUUGGAAUACACCAAAAUGUCAUCAAUGAAGACAAUGACAAAUUGGUCAAAAUACUCGCUAAAAACCCGAUUCAUCAUACCCAUAAACACUGCCGGAGCAUUAGUCAACCCAAAUGACAUCACCAAAAACUCAUAGUGCCCAUACCGAGUACGAAAAGCUGUUUUUGGAAUGUCCUCUUCCCUCACCCUCAACUGAUGGUACCCCGACCUCAAAUCUAUCUUUGAGAAGAACUUUACCCCCUUGGAACUGAUCGAAAAGGUCAUCUAUCCGUGGCAAUGGAUAUCUGUUCCUGAUAGUGAUCCGAUUUAGCUCCCUAUAAUCUAUACACAAUCUCAUAGAUCCUUCCUUCUUCUUCACAAACAACACUGGAGCACCCCAUGACGAUACACUCGGUCUAAUGAAUCCACGAUCUAACAACUCCUGCAAUUGUUCCUUCAACUCCUGUAACUCUAACGGAGCCAUUCUAUAGGGUGCCUUAGAGAUAGGUUCCGCUCCAGGAAUGAGCUCAAUAGUAAACUCAACUUCCCUUGGCGGUGGCAAUCCUGGCAGAUCCUUAGGAAAUACCUCAGGAAAUUCUCGCACAACUGGAUAGUCAUCAAGUUGGGGCUCAUCCCUCGAGGUAUCCUUCAUAUAAGCCAAAUAGCAGUCAUGUCCCUUAGAAAUCAUUUUGCUCGCCUUCAAAGCUGAGAUCAACUUUAUAACACCAUUCGGCUUGGAACAUUGAAACUCGAAUUCUGGAGCCUCUAAGGUUCCAAAAAUAACCUUCCUCGCCUGACAAUCAAUAGUGGCUCGAUGCUUACUCAGCCAAUCCAUACCCAAGAUGAUAUCGAAAUCAUGCAUCACCAUCGGAAGUAAGUUAGCUGCGUACACCCUCCUCCCUAACUUCAAAGGACACUCACGAAAUUGCUCAGAAAUAAUCACAGAAUUCCCCAUCGGGGUAGCAAUAGAUAAAUGAGGAUCUAAUAUAUGAGAAGGUACUCCAAGAUGACGAAUAAAUGAAAGUGCAACAAUAGAGUGUGUAGAUCCAGUGUCAAACAAAACUGAUGCCUCACGAUUUCCUACAAGAAGGAUGCCUGAAAUAGUACCUGGUGCUUGGGCCGCCUGAUUAGCUGUCAAUGCAAAUACUCUCCCACCGGCGUUGCGCUGACCGCCAUUACAAACAUUAUCUCCUCCCUCAUUACCACGCUGAACUGUGCAGUCCCUUGCUCUAUGUCCCAUCUGUCCACAUAAGAAACAAGCCCCUGUAUUUCUAUAGCACGCCCUACCAGCAUGAUACCCACCACAAGUAGCACAUGGAGUAGGUGGAAGUGGCAAAAGGUUUGGAUUGCCCCCACCUGCCGGUCCUGGAUACCGCCCUUGGAUUUGACCCUGUUGGCGAUGCUGACCCUGAUUCUGAUUUUGCUGGAAACCCCUGUUCUGUUGAAAUCCCCUAUUUUGAUACUGCCCUCCAGCUUGCCACUGACCCUGCUGCUGACCUCCACGACCACCCUGCUGUAUUGGGUAAGCAAAAUCCCUUCGAGGAUUAAACCGCUGACCUGAUGGAGGCUCAUUCCAGUUAUUUUGCCUUCUAUUCUGAUUUCUACCAAACUGUCUCAUUCCUUGCCCUUGAUGGUCAUCUCUAUCUCUCUUUCGACUCCCUUCUGUUUUGGAAGCUCGAAAGUCCUUGUGUUCCAUUUCCACACUCUUAGUUGUAUUAGCCACCUGUGAUACAUCUGUAAAUAUGGUGUGGAUGAUCGAUUGCCUAUACUCAUAUUUCAAGGCCCAUUUGAACUUUUCUGCAUGUUGUGCAGCUGUCGCAGCUAUUGAUCCCGCAAAACCAGCCAAUCUCGUAAACCUCGCUAUGAAAUCAGUAAUAGUCUCAUCAUCCUUCUGCCGAAUGGACACAAAUUCCCUGAUGUAUGCAUCCCUAUCAGCAUUUGGGAAAUACUGCUGAUAGAAAAGGUCACAAAAUCCGCUCCAUAUGAGCCCAUCCAUAAAUUCAUCUCCUUGUGUAGCCUUCAACGAUUUCCACCAUCGUUACGCAUCAUCCUCUAGCUUAUAAAUUGCUAACCUCACCUUCUGAUUUUCUGAACGCCCAAUCACAUCAAAAAUCUUCUCCAAGUGGGCGAUCCAGUUCUCCGCAUCAAUUGGAGUCGGAGCAAAACGAAAAGAAUUGGGCUUCUGCUUAAUGAACCUCUCUAAUAACACAUACAACGGCUGCACUUGUUGACCCACUUGAUCCUCGGGAGGAACAUUCUGCUCAUGUUGUGGUAUCUCAUCAUCAUCCCCCAUGCCAUUUGCAUGUUGAUUUCCUUGCAUCUGCGGAAUACCCUGCAUAGCCUGUGCCACAGCCUGCGUAACUGCCUCAUUCACCAUUGUUGCAACCAUAGCCGGGGUUAUUAUUGCAUUACCCUGGGCCCCAUCAUUUCCACCCUAGUUAACAGCCACAACCUGGGGCUGCCUCUGACCCCUCCUACCGUUAGUACCAACCUGCCUCCCAGUAAUUCUCGAAGACUUACGCGCCAUCUACGAUACAAAAUCAAACAGACGAGAACAAACAAAUCAAAACAAAUAAUCAAGGCCAAAUUUAUGCAGAACGAAAAUCAAACGCAAUACAAAUCUUAUAACUACCCAGUGGUCUACCCAUAGCUCGCAGGUCAAGCCUAAAAGGCAAUCUACAAGAUCAUAACCUAAGCUCUGAUACCAACUCUGUAACACCCCCUUUCCCAAAAGGAAAAAGGGAUGUCACGCACAAACAUAAUAAAUACAAAUCUCUAAUAAACCUCAAAAUAUCUCCAAUAAAAUUUAAUACUAAAUGUCACAUACUCCAAUUUAAAUGAAUGAACUCCACAUUUACAUAGUCUCUACUAAGAAUAAAUAAAUAUCAAAAUAGACCCCAAAACAUCCAGUUACAAAAUCUUAAGAAAACUAAGUCUAAUAAUAAUCUCAAAAGCUAAUCUACUCAUUUGGAUCAAAGGUAGCUCUCAUCUCACAAAUCCUGAUCACCCCUGAUUACCUGCCGGAAAAAGAACACAGCGUGAGCCAAUUGCCCAGUACGGAUAUGAAGAUGAAUAAAUAUAUCACAAUAAAUAAUGAAUCUAAAUGAGUUAAAUAAAUGAACACAUGUGAAUUACAAAUGAAUUAUGAAUAUAUCAAAAUUUGAGAGUCCAUUUACAAAUGACUAACACUGUCAGUCGAAUAAUUUUAGCCAAAAGAAUCUCAAACAAAUAAGGCUGAAUCAAAUGGUUGUAAGAUAACAAUUUCAUACUGAGCUCAAAUACAAAUAGCCAAAGGCUAACAAAAUACAUCGGUACCAUGAUGUAUACAAAUCAAAUCGGAUAGUACGCACGACACAUACGUCACUAAUCCGCCAAACAAAUCGAAUCAAAUCAAAUACUGGGUCGACCCAUACGUAUCCUGAACAAAUAUAUCAAAUGGCCAAAGCUCAUACCCAGAGCAUACAAAAGGAUACGCCGUGGACUAAUCACACCGCCACGGAAGGUGUCAUGCCCUUGUGUCAAGAGGACAUGCCUGUGGUACCCCCACAGGUGGUUAGCUCAAGUAUACCCUAAGGAUCAAACUACAAAAUGUAAGCCAAAAGGGGUUCAAAUCACAAGGCUUACAUGACCAUAUUCAAAUGAAAUCGAAUUAUCAAAUACAAACAAUAUUAAUUAUCCCAAUAUAUCAAUGAUAAAAAAUAACUCAUGAAUGUGAACAAAAAUAUACGAACAAUGGUACAAACGAAUAAAGUCUCCAAAACAUAUUGACACGAUUAACUAGUUUCAAGAGUACAAAUACGAAUUAUAAUAUCAACGCCAAAGCGAAAUUGUCUCAAUAAUUUUGACAACAAAGAAUAAUCCGGAGGGGCAAUACCAAAUCUCUAAACGAAUAGAAAACGAACGAAUUAAAUUUAAAAGAGUAUCGUUGAAAAAGUACGAAAUCCGUACCUUAAUAUAGCACCAAAAUAAUUCUCCGAAUCCAAAUAUCACCCGCUAAACUCCAUCAAUCCGAU
rnacentral:lncRNA from 1 species